rnacentral:lncRNA from 1 species
UCCCAGACUGAGUGCUACGAACCACUAUAACUCUCCUCUCUGUUCCCAGACUGAGUGCUCGACCACUAACUCUCCUCUCUGUUCCCAGACUGAGUGCUACGACCACUAACUCUCCUCUCUGUUCCCAGACUGAGUGCUACGACCACUAACUCUCCUCUCUGUUCCCAGACUGUGAGUGCUACGACCAUAACUCUCCUCUCUGUUCCCAGACUGUGAGUGCUACGACCACUAACUCUCCUCUCUGUUCCCAGA